GACAUAAAAAUCAAAAUAUCUAAUCUAGACCCAAAAGAAAUAUUUAAAAGCUAAAUAGGGUGUAAAACUUAUGUUCGGUCAAAAAUUAGGUGUUUACAGAAUGUCCCUCUUUGCUUGGAAACAUGAAGAGUUUUCAAGCAAAGAUGUGAACACUGUGACUGAUUUUUGACCUGACCAUUAUUUGAAAGACGAAAAGAAAUAAAAGAAAAGGAUGUGACCGAGUCCUGGUUUUGGGCAUCCUACAUAUCCCGGGUUAUAAGGGAAUCAGGUCACGUGUAGUUCAAAUGGGUAGAAGGAUGGAAUGAUGAGUUGGAUGAUCGAGUGAGGUCCCUUCGAGGUUCCGGUUCGUGGCUCCUGUUAUUACAUCAAAGAAAUGAAAAAUACAACAAAAUAAGAAAGGAAAUACAAGAUCCUAUUUACUCUACUUGUCUUGAAUCUUCCUUUAGACCUUCACUUGGAUCUUCAGUUAUCACCUCACCUUCUUUCGGUGGGUACCUUGAUCUCAAAGUAUGAUCUUGAAGUUAGAAUGUGUGACUUAGACUUGCAACUUGGAGUAAAUUGUUGAUUAUCUUCCAAGUAACAGUUCGUAGAAUAUUCUUGGAUGCUUGUUUCUUGACUAGAGGCUGAGAAGAUGAAUAUUGAGAGGUUGGGUUGCUUUAUAUGUCAAAGCCGACUCUAACUAUCCUUACAAUUGAGCAUUCUUCUUUUCUCUGACCAAUGAUGGAACUUCAUUCUUGAAUAUCAAUUCUGUGCUUCACGGGAGAACCUACAAGCCAUCAAAGACAAACAAAAACGAACAAAAUUUUUCUGUCCCAGUUUGUACCAGGAAAAUUUGUGAGUGUUAGGAAAAUCAUAAACCACUUGGGACUGUAUUCUGAGGUGGUCAACCCGAAAUUAAAAACGUGACUGUAUUCUGAGGUAGUCAACCUGAAAUUUAAAUACGUGACUGUGUUCUGAGGUAGUCAACCUAAAAUUUAAAUACGUGACUGUAUUCUGAGGUAGUCAACCUGAAAUUUAAAUACGUGACUGUAUUCUGAGGUAGUCAACCUGAAAUUUAAAAUACGUGACUGUAUUUUGAGGUAGUCAACCUAAAAUUUAAAUACGUGACUGUAUUCUGAGGUAGUCAACCUGAAAUUUAAAAACAUGACUUUAUUUUGAGGUAGUCAACCUGAAAUUUAAA